AAGGAAAGUAAUCAAGAGAGAAGGGCCAACAUGGCGGAGAAGUAGGGGAUCCAAAAUUCGCUCAUCUCUCAAAGCAGUGCUGAAGCUAAAGGACUUUAAACUCUGAGAGUCUGGGAGACAAAGA